UACGGAGGGUGCAAGCGUUAAUCGGAAUUACUGGGCGUAAAGCGCACGCAGGCGGUUUAUUAAGUGAGGUGUGAAAUCCCCGGGCUUAACCUGGGAAUUGCAUCUAAGACUGGGUAUCUAGAGUCUUGUAGGGGGGGGUAGAAUUCCAUGUGUAGCGGUGAAAUGCGUAGAGAUGUGGAGGAAUACCGGAGGCGAAGGCGGCCCCCUGGGAAAAGACUGACGCUCAGGUGCGAAAGCGUGGGGAGCAAACAGG
rnacentral:rRNA from 1 species